rnacentral:rRNA from 1 species
UACGGAGGGAGCUAGCGUUGUUCGGAAUUACUGGGCGUAAAGCGCACGUAGGCGGCUUUGUAAGUUAGAGGUGAAAGCCCGGGGCUCAACCCCGGAAUUGCCUUUAAGACUGCAUCGCUUGAAUCCAGGAGAGGUGAGUGGAAUUCCGAGUGUAGAGGUGAAAUUCGUAGAUAUUCGGAAGAACACCAGUGGCGAAGGCGGCUCACUGGAUGCUGGUAUUGACGCUGAGGUGCGAAAGCGUGGGGAGCAAACAGG